AUUGAACGCUGGCGGCAUGCCUUACACAUGCAAGUCGAACGGUAACAGGUCUUCGGAUGCUGACGAGUGGCGAACGGGUGAGUAAUACAUCGGAACGUGCCUAGUAGUGGGGGAUAACUACUCGAAAGAGUGGCUAAUACCGCAUGAGAUCUACGGAUGAAAGCAGGGGAUCGCAAGACCUUGUGCUACUAGAGCGGCCGAUGGCAGAUUAGGUAGUUGGUGGGAUAAAAGCUUACCAAGCCGACGAUCUGUAGCUGGUCUGAGAGGACGAUCAGCCACACUGGGACUGAGACACGGCCCAGACUCCUACGGGAGGCAGCAGUGGGGAAUUUUGGACAAUAGGCGAAAGCCUGAUCCAGCAAUGCCGCGUGCAGGAUGAAGGCCUUCGGGUUGUAAACUGCCUUUGUACGGAACGAAAAGCCCUGGGUUAAUACCCUGGGGUCAUGACGGUACCGUAAGAAUAAGCACCGGCUAACUACGUGCCAGCCGCCGCAGUAA
rnacentral:rRNA from 1 species